rnacentral:lncRNA from 1 species
UGGAGAGCUGUAGACGUAUGGUGGAGGAGGAGACUUGUAUACAACCUUAGGGGAUGGAGAGUAGUACGGUGGUGGUGGGGAACUGUAAACAUAUGGUGGUGGAGGAGACUUGUAGUCUACCUUAGGGGAUGGAGAGUAGUAUGGUGGUGGUGGAGAACUAUAGACAUAUGGAGGAGGAGGAGACUUGUAUACAACCUUAGGGGAUGGAGAAUAGUAUGGUGGUGGUGGAGAGCUGUAAACAUACGGUGGUGGAGGAGACUUGUAGUGAACCUUAGGUGUUGGAGAGUAAUAUGGUGGUGGUGGAGAACUGUAAACAUAUGGUGGUGGAGGAGACUUGUAUACAACCUUAGGAGAUGGAGAGUAAUAUGGUGGUGGUGGAGAGUUAUAGACGUAUGGGGGAGGAGAAGACUUGUAUACGACCUUUGGAGAUGGGGAAUAACAUGGAGGAGGUGGUGGACACACACAUACAUGUGGGUGUGGUGGAGAUUUGUAGUGUACUUUAGGAGAAGGUGAGUAGUAUGGAGGUGGUGGAGAACUGUAAACAUAUGGUGGUGGAGGAGAUUUGUAGUGUACUUUAGGUGAAGGUGAAUAAUAUGGUGGUGGUGGAGAACUGUAC